AACGAACGCUGGCGGCGCGCUUAACACAUGCAAGUCGAACGAGAAGGCGUAGCAAUACGCUUGUAAAGUGGCGAACGGGUGAGGAAUACAUGGGUAACCUACCCUCGAGUGGGGGAUAACCCGCCGAAAGGCGGGCUAAUACCGCGUACGCUUCCGAUCUUGCGGGAUCGGAAGGAAAGCUGUCCCUUGGGGAUGGCGCUCAAGGAUGGGCUCAUGUCCUAUCAGCUUGUUGGUAGGGAACGGCCUACCAAGGCAUCGACGGGUAGCUGGUCUGAGAGGACGAUCAGCCACACUGGCACUGCGACACGGGCCAGACUCCUACGGGAGGCAGCAGUGAGGAAUAUUGCGCAAUGGGCGAAAGCCUGACGCAGCGACGCCGC
rnacentral:rRNA from 1 species